rnacentral:rRNA from 1 species
GCGAAACCUUUACACUGCACGCCAGUGCGAUAAGGGGAUCCCAAGUGCGCAGGCAUAGAGCCUGCGCUUUUGUACACCGUAGGGAGGUGUACGAAUAAGGGCUGGGCAAGACCGGUGCCAGCCGCCGCGGUAAUACCGGCAGCCCGAGUGAUGGCCGAUCUUAUUGGGCCUAAAGCGUCCGUAGCUGGCCGCGCAAGUCCAUCGGAAAAUCCGCCCGCUCAACGGGUGGGCGUCCGGUGGAAACUGCGUGGCUUGGGACCGGAAGGCGCGACGGGUACGUCCGGGGUAGGAGUGAAAUCCCGUAAUCCUGGACGGACCGCCGAUGGCGAAAGCACGUCGCGAGGACGGAUCCGACAGUGAGGGACGAAAGCCAGGGUCUCGAACCGGAUUAGAUACCCGGGUAGUCCUGGCCGUAAACAAUGUCUGUUAGGUGUGGCUCCCACUACGAGUGGGUGCUGUGCCGUAGGGAAGCCGCUAAACAGACCGCCUGGGAAGUACGUCCGCAAGGAUGAAACUUAAAGGAAUUGGCGGGGGAGCACUACAACCGGAGGAGCCUGCGGUUUAAUUGGAAUCA